UACGUAGGGGGCAAGCGUUGUCCGGAUUUAUUGGGCGUAAAGAGCGUGUAGGCGGCCAUACAGGUCCGUUGUGAAAACUGGAGGCUUAACCUCCAGACGUCGAUGGAAACCGUAUGGCUAGAGUCCGGAAGAGGAGAGUGGAAUUCCCAGUGUAGCGGUGAAAUGCGUAGAUAUUGGGAAGAACACCUGAGGCGAAGGCGGGUUGCUGGGCCGACACUGACGCUGAGUGCGCGAAAGCCAGGGGAGCGAACGGG
rnacentral:rRNA from 1 species